rnacentral:lncRNA from 1 species
AAAAAAAAAAAAAACUUUCAGAAAUUGCAUUCACCACCGCAUUGCUGAUCCAACAAGAAGGUUAAUAAAAAUUUCUCAUAUCGUAAUAUAUUGUAUUCAACAGUCCAAUCAAUUGUGCUUAUAAACCCAAUAACAUGCUUAGAAAUUUCAUGAGCAACUAAUAACUAGUGCUAGGUUAUGUAUAUACUACACGAUUGAUGUCUUCUCCUUCUUCUCUCCUUCUCCUUCUUCCUUAAUGAAAUUUUCAUUUACAGUAAAGUUGAAAAUCACAAUGGAUCCAGAAUUCAGGUCUGCACCAGUACGUUUUAGACAAUCAUCUCUGCUGUCGAAAGAAAAAGAAAAGGAUAGGGUCCCUGUGUUUAGCUGAUUUUGGCUCGAAAGGACAAAAACCUUUGGAUCGGCUCCACUUCACAGCGACGCUGCUUUUCCGGUGGAGAUCAUAGAUAUGCGCAAGAGCCACUACAAUAGUUUGAAAGAUAAAGGCCCACGCACCGGAAAGCCUCCCUCUCGGCUAUCCCUUAAAGUAUAACACCGGGGACAGACCGGAAAGCUUCUCGCAUCGGAUUUCAGCUAAAGUAAAGGGCUAGAUUUUGUUCCUGGAUCAUCUCUCUUUUUCUUGUUUUCGUCUUUGAACUUGGUAGUUAAAGUAUAUGAUAAAACCAAAAAAAAAAGUGUUAGUUAAAGCAAGAUACCCUACAGACAUAAAUUAUGGAAUUCCUUUAACCAGCAGGAACAGCAGAUAAUGCUU